CAGUCGAGGGGUAUAGUUCUUCGGAAUUAGAGACCGGCGCACGGGUGCGUAACGCGUAUGCAAUCUACCUUUCACAGAGGGAUAGCCCAGAGAAAUUUGGAUUAAUACCUCAUAGUAUUAUAGGAUGGCAUCAUUUUAUAAUUAAAGUCACAACGGUGAAAGAUGAGCAUGCGUCCCAUUAGCUAGAUGGUAAGGUAACGGCUUACCAUGGCAACGAUGGGUAGGGGUCCUGAGAGGGAGAUCCCCCACACUGGUACUGAGACACGGACCAGACUCCUACGGGAGGCAGCAGUGAGGAAUAUUGGUCAAUGGACGCAAGUCUGAACCAGCCAUGCCGCGUGCAGGAUGACGGUCCUAUGGAUUGUAAACUGCUUUUGUACGAGAAGAAACAACAUUACGUGUAAUGUCUUGACGGUAUCGUAAGAAUAAGGAUCGGCUAACUCCGUGCCAGCAGCCGCGGUAAUACGGAGGAUCCAAGCGUUAUCCGGAAUCAUUGGGUUUAAAGGGUCCGUAGGCGGUUUAGUAAGUCAGUGGUGAAAGCCCAUCGCUCAACGGUGGAACGGCCAUUGAUACUGCUAGACUUGAAUUAUUAGGAAGUAACUAGAAUAUGUAGUGUAGCGGUGAAAUGCUUAGAGAUUACAUGGAAUACCAAUUGCGAAGGCAGGUUACUACUAAUUUAUUGACGCUGAUGGACGAAAGCGUGGGUAGCGAACAGGA
rnacentral:rRNA from 1 species